GAAGGUCUCCAGCAACUUCUCAAUGGAAAAUGCCAUUUGCUGGUGCACUUGGAAGCCCAUGGCUCUGAACGUGUUGACCUUGCCUGCCUGCGGGGACGGUGUGCCUCCGCAACCAGACAGGUUCCACUGGAAACGUUCAUCUCUGCUUCAUGGUAUUGAAAAAAUGUGAAAGGGAAGGAGGAGAGAAGACAUCAGUGAGUCUUCCCUUGGCUCAGGAAGCAGAUGACACAUUCCUUUCAGGUCUUCUUGAAGGGAAAUUUUCUUCUAUGCAUAGCAGGCAAACCAAGAAGUAUCUCAGUGAAAGACUGAAUUGAGCCUCUAAAUGCCUCCAGCCAAAUCACGUGGAGAAUGACACAGCUGGAAACCAGUUUGCAACUCAGUGUGGUCACAGAUAGGAGAAAAGAUCUGUAGUAAAUUGUCAGACACCUGGACAAUAACUUUUGCUCGGCUGCGAAAAGCCUUGAGACACAAACGUAAAUAGGAUAUUCUAGGAUGUAAUUCUAUCUUCUUGAGUUUUGGUUGAGGGGUGUGGUGGGGUGCAAAGUGUUUUUCUUGGGUUUUUUUUGAUUAAUUUUACAAACUAAUGUGUAAUCUGAAUGUUUCUGAAAAACACAGAGGCAUCCAUAUAAGCAGGAAAUCUUUGAAUUUCAAUUUUAUUCUGGCAAGUUAGGAAAGAAGGAAAGAAUCAGAUCAGUGACUACUCUUGGGUGCCAUUUAUCAAAGCAAUAAGAAAGAACAGAAUUAGUUGUCAGAGACAUCUCCAGCAAGACAAGGUAGUUUCAAGUGCUCUGAGGUGAUUUUUGUAACCAUUACCCACAUCUUCCUUCCCCAAUGAAAUAUUAGUAAAUUAUUCUCAUACCUAUGCUCAAUAAGCACAGAAAACAGCCAAUGGGAGAAGUUACAUCUUUUCUGUGGUCAUUCAAUUGUUUCUGGUUUUUGCUAAUACAUAGCCCUCAACAAUCCUGGCAAUUAGAAUUAAUUAAUCCACAGUUAAAGCUACUAAUGUGUAGUAGUCUUUAAUUUGAGGAUGACAAAUUGAGGAAUUUACUCAGUUGCGAAACAUGUGCAGCAAAUGAAUAAGCAUGUUCAAAAGUUGCACCUAUCUUUGAGCAAAUUAAAAAUACAUCCUAUUAUGUAAUUAACAUGAUUUUGAGUCAAAUAUGCUGUAUACUACAAAAAAAGUCCAAUUAGCUCCUACUUCUGUAUUAUUUAUAAUGAAACUACUUGCUAUUUGGCUAUAAUUUUCUGGGAGA